GUAGUCGUGGCCGAGUGGUUAAGGCGACAGACUUGAAAUCUGUUGGGAUAUUCCCGCGCAGUUUCAAAUCCUGCCGACUACG
rnacentral:tRNA from 1 species